rnacentral:rRNA from 1 species
GACGAACGCUGGCGGCGUGCUUAACACAUGCAAGUCGAACGAAAAGGCCCUGCUUUUGUGGGGUGCUCGAGUGGCGAACGGGUGAGUAACACGUGAGUAACCUGCCCUUGACUUUGGGAUAACUUCAGGAAACUGGGGCUAAUACCGGAUAGGAGCUCCUGCUGCAUGGUGGGGGUUGGAAAGUUUCGGCGGUUGGGGAUGGACUCGCGGCUUAUCAGCUUGUUGGUGGGGUAGUGGCUUACCAAGGCUUUGACGGGUAGCCGGCCUGAGAGGGUGACCGGCCACAUUGGGACUGAGAUACGGCCCAGACUCCUACGGGAGGCAGCAGUGGGGAAUAUUGCACAAUGGGCGGAAGCCUGAUGCAGCAACGCCGCGUGCGGGAUGACGGCCUUCGGGUUGUAAACCGCUUUCGCCUGUGACGAAGCGUGAGUGACGGUAAUGGGUAAAGAAGCACCGGGUAACUACGUG